rnacentral:tRNA from 1 species
CGGGGUGUGGCGCAGUUGGUAGCGCGCUACGUUUGGGACGUAGAGGUCCAGGGUUCGAGUCCCUGCACCCCGA